rnacentral:rRNA from 1 species
UGACCUCAAAUCAGGUAGGACUACCCGCUGAACUUAAGCAUAUCAAUAAGCGGAGGAAAAGAAACUAACAAGGAUUCCCCUAGUAACUGCGAGUGAAGAGGGAAGAGCUCAAAUUUUGAAUCUGGCGGCGUUCUGCCGUCCGAGUUGUAAUCUAGAGAAGCGUCUUCCGCGCUGGACCGUGUACAAGUCUCCUGGAAGGGAGCGUCGUAGAGGGUGAGAAUCCCGUCUCUGACACGGACUACCAGUGCUAUGUGAUGCGCUCUCGACGAGUCGAGUUGUUUGGGAAUGCAGCUCAAAACGGGUGGUAAAUUCCAUCUAAAGCUAAAUACAUGCGAGAGACCGAUAGCGAACAAGUACCGUGAGGGAAAGAUGAAAAGAACUUUGGAAAGAGAGUUAAACAGUACGUGAAAUUGCUGAAAGGGAAACGCUUGAUGUCAGUCGCGUCGGCUGGGGAUCAACCUUGCUUCUCGCUGGGUGUACUUCUCGGUCGACGGGUCAGCAUCAGUUUCGGUCGCCGUACAAGGGCGAGGGGAAUGUGGCACUCUUCGGAGUGUGUUAUAGCCUUUCGUCGUAUGCGGCGCUCGGGACUGAGGAACUCAGCACGGCUUCGGUCUGUGCUUAGGAUGCUGGCAUAGUGGCCUUAAGCGACCCGUC